UACGGAGGGUGCGAGCGUUAUUCGGAAUUACUGGGCGUAAAGCGCGUGUAGGCGGGAAGGCAAGUCUGAUGUGAAAGCCCCGGGCUUAACCUGGGAAGUGCAUUGGAAACUGCCAUUCUUGAGUGCUGGAGAGGAAGGGGGAAUUCCCGGUGUAGAGGUGAAAUUCGUAGAGAUCGGGAGGAAUACCAGUGGCGAAGGCGCCCUUCUGGACGGCAACUGACGCUGAGAAGCGAAAGCGUGGGGAGCAAACAGG
rnacentral:rRNA from 1 species